GACGAACGCUGGCGGCGUGCUUAACACAUGCAAGUCGAACGGACAGACAGAGAGCUUGCUCUCUUGAAGUUAGUGGCGAACGGGUGAGUAACGCGUAAUCAACCUGCCCUUCAGAGGGGGAUAACAACGGGAAACCGUUGCUAAUACCGCGUACGAUUCAUGAACGGCAUCGUUUAUGAAUGAAAGGUGGCCUCUAUGUAUAAGCUAUCGCUGAAGGAGGGGAUUGCGUCUGAUUCGCUAGUUGGAGGGGUAGCGGCCCACCAAGGCAAUGAUCAGUAGCCGGUCUGAGAGGAUGAACGGCCACAUUGGGACUGAGACACGGCCCAAACUCCUACGGGAGGCAGCAGUGGGGAAUCUUCCGCAAUGGACGAAAGUCUGACGGAGCAACGCCGCGUGAGUGAUGAAGGUCUUCGGAUUGUAAAGCUCUGUUAAUCGGGACGAAAGAGUUCUGCGUGAAUAAUGCAGAAAAGUGACGGUACCGGAAUAGAAAGCCACGGCUAACUACAUGCCAGCAGCCGCCGUAA
rnacentral:rRNA from 1 species